rnacentral:rRNA from 1 species
AUGGAGCCGGAGCCCAUCGGCGCUGCAUUGGAGCUCCGCCGGAGUUGCGAUGGAGCUUCGCCGGAGGCCUCGGUGUUGCGUUGGAGCUCCGUCAGGGCUGCAAUGGAACUUCGCCGGAGCCGUCGGCGCUGCCUUGGAGCUCCGCCGGAGUUGCAAUGGAGCUUCGCCGGAGCCGUCGGUGCUGCGUUGGAGCUCCACCGGAGUUGCAAUGGAGCUUCGCCGGAGCCGUCGGCGUUGCGUUGGAGCUCCAUCCGGGCUGCAAUGGAAGUUGGCCGGAGUUGCAAUGGAGCUUCGCCAGAGCAGCGGUGCUUCGGUGGAGCUGCAAUGGAGCUCGCCAGACGCCCUCGGCGCUUCGUUGGAACUCCGCCGGGGCUGUGA